UUCCUUUUCUUUCCCUGCUCGUCGCCGACCUCGCCAGCCGCCCAUCCUCCUCAGCCCGACUAGAUCGUCACCGCCCAGCCAGUAGCAAGUCUCAUAGCCGCUCGCCGCCGAUCGACACCGAGCCGGCCCCGACCAACGUUGCCCACGAGCCAACUAGCGCCGCUCCUCUGUGCGUCACCCACGAGCCGACCAGCGCCGCCGCAGCAAGUCGUCCCUUUUGGCCAGACACUUCUGCACCCGAGCCGCCAACGCCAGCGCCGCUCCUCUCCUUCAAUCGACCAGAUAUGCACCGGAUUCCUCCUGUCGUCGCUGUCGUUGCUUGUGCCGUCAUCAUAUUUAUCAAUUUGGCUUUGGAUUCAUGUUCUUGAAAGUAUUAAGGUGCUGUUAGGUGAAGUUGGAAUUGUUUUAGCAGAUUUGGUGCACCUCAUAUCACACCUUGAGGUCUUACUUGGAGUUACUGGUUUCGUUGGUUGUCUGAUAUUAUCAUUUCCGAUUUAGGGUGGAUUCAAAGCCUUCCAGGAGUUGUAAGAGGGUUAAUUACUUGGAUUAAUUUGUGACCAAAUUUGAGGUAAAGGUAGAGAUGCACCGACGAUGGAAAAGAAAAAUUCGUGAUCGAGCCACUGGGGCUAG